rnacentral:lncRNA from 1 species
UUCUCUUGUCCUUACAGUGGUUGCCCCAGAGAUGAGCCCAACACCCACCUUGCUGCUACCUCCAGAAGUGUGAAUUGGUGAGAACUCUUCCACAAAGGCACAUUUCAGGGCAGUGAUGUGGACACUAUGAUCAUCUUCUUUAAAAGGAAGAGCAAUUACCUUCAUGGACAAGGUUUCUAUUUCGCAAGUGCCCAGGGCAGCACCCGCGCAGACACCAAGGGAUCCCCAUCCCUCAGCCAGGCACACACAGCAGCCACUGCCCUUGGAUCCACUCCCCAGAACAAGCUGCACAGCUCCAGCAUCCUUCAGACUGAAGAAUGAAGGAAAC